UGAAUUUGACAACUUUAGAUAACCCAUGUAAGUGGGACCACGCAGUCUUUGUCUUUCUAUGACUGGCUUAUUUCACUUAGCAUAAUGUCCUCAAGGUUCAUCCACAUUGCAGCUUGCGACAGGAUUUCUUUUUGAAGGCUGAAUAACAUUUCAUUGUAUGCACAUGCCAUAUUUUGUUUAUCCAUUCAUCUGUCGAUGGACAUGUGUGUGCCAUUCACCUUUGGAUAUUUUGACUCAUACAGCAAUGAACAUGGAUGUAUUCAUGAAAGAAACAUGGGGCAGUGUUUGGAAGGCUAUCAAGAUUUCUGAAACUUAUCAACAUGUUCAAUGAAAAUGAGCAGCGGGUUUGGACUCCCAACUGAAGAAAUCACAUUGUUUCAUCCUGUGCCUCUGUAAGUUAAUCA
rnacentral:lncRNA from 1 species